AGGGAAAAGCCCAGAGUCAACAUCAAUAUUUAUCGCAGGAGAAAAGUCUGGAAAGACCGGCAAUAAAGGGUAAUAGCCCCGUAUCUGAAACGGUAAAUGUUGUGAACUCAAAGAGUAGGGCGGGACACGUGUUAUCCUGUCUGAACAUGGGGGGACCAUCCUCCAAGGCUAAAUACUCCUGACUGACCGAUAGUGAACCAGUACCGUGAGGGAAAGGCGAAAAGAACCCCGGCAAGGGGAGUGAAAUAGAACCUGAAACCGUGUACGUACAAGCAGUGGGAGCACCCAAAAAGGUGUGACUGCGUACCUUUUGUAUAAUGGGUCAGCGACUUAUAUUCUGUAGCAAGGUUAACCAGAUAGGGGAGCCGUAGGGAAACCGAGUCUUAACUGGGCGUUAAGUUGCAGGGUAUAGACCCGAAACCCGG
rnacentral:rRNA from 1 species